rnacentral:rRNA from 1 species
CUUCGGGGUACUCGAGUGGCGAACGGGUGAGUAACACGUGGGCAAUCUGCCCUGCACACCGGCGAUAAGCCUGGGAAACUGGGUCUAAUACCGGAUAGGACCACUUGGCGCAUGCCUUGUGGUGGAAAGCUUUUGCGGUGUGGGAUGGGCCCGCGGCCUAUCAGCUUGUUGGUGGGGUGACGGCCUACCAAGGCGACGACGGGUAGCCGGCCUGAGAGGGUGUCCGGCCACACUGGGACUGAGAUACGGCCCAGACUCCUACGGGAGGCAGCAGUGGGGAAUAUUGCACAAUGGGCGCAAGCCUGAUGCAGCGACGCCGCGUGGGGGAUGACGGCCUUCGGGUUGUAAACCUCUUUCACCAUCGACGAAGGUCCGGGUUUUCUCGGAUUGACGGUAGGUGGAGAAGAAGCACCGGCCAACUACGUGCCAGCAGCCGCGGUAAUACGUAGGGUGCGAGCGUUGUCCGGAAUUACUGGGCGUAAAGAGCUCGUAGGUGGUUUGUCGCGUUGUUCGUGAAAUCUCACGGCUUAACUGUGAGCGUGCGGGCGAUACGGGCAGACUAGAGUACUGCAGGGGAGACUGGAAUUCCUGGUGUAGCGGUGGAAUGCGCAGAUAUCAGGAGGAACACCGGUGGCGAAGGCGGGUCUCUGGGCAGUAACUGACGCUGAGGAGCGAAAGCGUGGGGAGCGAACAGGAUUAGAUACCCUGGUAGUCCACGCCGUAAACGGUGGGUACUAGGUGUGGGUUUCCUUCCUUGGGAUCCGUGCCGUAGCUAACGCAUUAAGUACCCCGCCUGGGGAGUACGGCCGCAAGGCUAAAACUCAAAGGAAUUGACGGGGGCCCGCACAAGCGGCGGAGCAUGUGGAUUAAUUCGAUGCAACGCGAAGAACCUUACCUGGGUUUGACAUGCACAGGACGCGUCUAGAGAUAGGCGUUCCCUUGUGGCCUGUGUGCAGGUGGUGCAUGGCUGUCGUCAGCUCGUGUCGUGAGAUGUUGGGUUAAGUCCCGCAACGAGCGCAACCCUUGUCUCAUGUUGCCAGCGGGUAAUGCCGGGGACUCGUGAGAGACUGCCGGGGUCAACUCGGAGGAAGGUGGGGAUGACGUCAAGUCAUCAUGCCCCUUAUGUCCAGGGCUUCACACAUGCUACAAUGGCCGGUACAAAGGGCUGCGAUGCCGCGAGGUUAAGCGAAUCCUUUUAAAGCCGGUCUCAGUUCGGAUCGGGGUCUGCAACUCGACCCCGUGAAGUCGGAGUCGCUAGUAAUCGCAGAUCAGCAACGCUGCGGUGAAUACGUUCCCGGGCCUUGUACACACCGCCCGUCACGUCAUGAAAGUCGGUAACACCCGAAGCCA